rnacentral:rRNA from 1 species
AUUGAACGCUGGCGGCAGGCCUAACACAUGCAAGUCGAACGAGUGGCGGACGGGUGAGUAAUGUCUGGGAAACUGCCCGAUGGAGGGGGAUAACUACUGGAAACGGUAGCUAAUACCGCAUACCAUCGGAUGUGCCCAGAUGGGAUUAGCUAGUAGGGGGUGUAACGGCUCACCUAGGCGACGAUCCCUAGCUGGUCUGAGAGGAUGACCAGCCACACUGGAACUGAGACACGGUCCAGACUCCGACGAGAGGGAGCAGUGGGGAAUAUUGCACAAUGGGCGCAAGACUGAUGCAGCCAUGCCGCGUGUAUGAAGAAGGCCUGCGGGUUGUAAAGUACUUGCAGCGAGGAGGCGGUACUCGCAGAAGAAGCACCGGCUAACUCCGUGACAGCAGCCGCGGUAAUUC